AAAACUUUCAACAAUGGAUCUCUUGGUUCCGGCAUCGAUGAAGAACGCAGCGAAAUGCGAUAAUUAAUGUGAAUUGCAGAAUUCAGUGAAUCAUCGAGUCUUUGAACGCACAUUGCACCCCCUGGUAUUCCGGGGGGUAUGCCUGUCCGAGCGUCACU
rnacentral:rRNA from 1 species